rnacentral:rRNA from 1 species
UACGAAGGGGGCUAGCGUUGCUCGGAAUCACUGGGCGUAAAGGGUGCGUAGGCGGGUCUUUAAGUCAGGGGUGAAAUCCUGGAGCUCAACUUCGGAACUGCCCUUGAUACAGCACGUCUUGAGUCCGGAAGAGGUGGGUGGAAUUCCUAGUGUAGAGGUGAAAUUCGUAGAUAUUAGGAAGAACACCGGUGGCGAAGGCGGCCCACUGGUCCGGUACUGACGCUGAGGUGCGAAAGCGUGGGGAGCAAACAGG